AUUGAACGCUGGCGGAAUGCUUUACACAUGCAAGUCGAACUGCAGCACGGGGCAACCUGGUGGCGAGUGGCGAACGGGUGAGUAAUACAUCGGAACGUGCCCAAUCGUGGGGGAUAACGUAGCGAAAGCUACGCUAAUACCGCAUACGAUCUACGGAUGAAAGCGGGGGAUCGCAAGACCUCGCGCGAAUGGAGCGGCCGAUGGCAGAUUAGGUAGUUGGUGGGGUAAAGGCUCACCAAGCCGACGAUCUGUAGCUGGUCUGAGAGGACGACCAGCCAACCUGGGACUGGGACACGGCCCAGACUCCUACGGGAGGCAGCAGUGGGGAAUUUUGGACAAUGGGCGCAAGCCUGAUCCAGCCAUUCCGCGUGCAGGAUGAAUGCCUUCGGGUUGUAAACUGCUUUUGUACGGAACGAAAAGGCUCUGGUUAAUACCCGGGGCUCAUGACGGUACCGUAAGAAUAAGCACCGGCUAACUACGUGCCAGCCGCCGCCGUAA
rnacentral:rRNA from 1 species